rnacentral:rRNA from 1 species
UGGGGAAUAUUGGACAAUGGGCGAAAGCCUGAUCCAGCCAUGCCGCGUGUGUGAAGAAGGUCUUCGGAUUGUAAAGCACUUUAAGUUGGGAGGAAGGGCAGUAAGCGAAUACCUUGCUGUUUUGACGUUACCGACAGAAUAAGCACCGGCUAACUCUGUGCCAGCAGCCGCGGUAAUACAGAGGGUGCAAGCGUUAAUCGGAAUUACUGGGCGUAAAGCGCGCGUAGGUGGUUCGUUAAGUUGAAUGUGAAAGCCCCGGGCUCAACCUGGGAACUGCAUCCAAAACUGGCGAGCUAGAGUAGGGCAGAGGGUGGUGGAAUUUCCUGUGUAGCGGUGAAAUGCGUAGAUAUAGGAAGGAACACCAGUGGCGAAGGCGACCACCUGGGCUCAUACUGACACUGAGGUACGAAAGCAUGGGGAGCAAACAGG